UGGCGCCCUCGAGAGCCAGAGAGCGGGAGCGCUAAGCAGGUGUGACAGUUCCGGUGUGUUGGUUUUUGGUCACUGGUUAUUUGGACAAAACACAUUUUAGCAGAGAGGGGCCCUGAAGCCCCCCAGCCAUUGCCAUACAGUCUGCUUUUGUUGAGGCUGGAACACCAACCCACCUCAGCGCUCUGGGGCCCCACUUGGGGCCCUCAGCGCACACCAAGACCAGGAAGAUGGAUGUGUGAUUGGAACGUUUGGCUGAGACGCAUGGCAUACUGCAACACGCCUUUGCCGAAGGAAAACGUGUUGGCUUCUCUAAGGAUUAAGGUUCUUCCGUGCUAUCGCUUCCUGUCCAUGCCUGCGACAGCACGUGUGUGUUUGUGCACGCUGAUGCGACGUGUGUGUCUCGAAAAGCUGGACUCCGUACACGUGGUCACCACCCUCACAGAUAACUUUGACCUCAUUUGACCCAAUGGUUUCAAUUAGUACCAUCUGAGGCUAAUUUCCAUCCAAAUCUUCAUGCGAAUAUUCUAAAAUCCCCAUGAAGACAAUAUACACCUUUUCCCACCAGAGAUGUUUCCAUCAAAUUGUCUUGUUGCAGAGAACUGAGCGUGAUGAUGUAGUGCACUUACAAAAUAACUUGUGCAGUUAAAUGGGUUUCCAUUGCAUUUUCAACUCUAAUUAUGGUUUUGUAAGAAGAACUCUUGCUUUACAUAGCGAAUCUCUGGUCUUGGCACGUGCUCUCUAGCCAACAGCUCGCAGAUAAAUUGCGGGUAUAGGCUACUUAUUUAAAACUUAUUUCAUCUAGCCUAAUACACUGUAUGCUUUCCCUAGUCGUAGUGGGAUGACCAUAUAAUAUCAUUGAGUGUUUUCAAGUUUACUUCAAUGUGUUGGUUAUUAUAUCAAUAUUUCAAUGUUUCCACCACCAUUUCUUGCGUCAUAUAUUUUACAGAUAUAAUAUCCCACCUUGUCGAGCGUGUUUUGUUUUGGAAGGUUUACCAACAAAUGUGUUGUUUCCAUCAGGCCUGUCUUGAAAUGUUUUAUCCGGCAUGUACUUUACUUACAUAAAAAGGUUGGAUGGAAACUUGGUUAUAAAAGCACUUCAAUUAAUUAACUGUCCAUUAAAACCUCUUCAAGAGCACCAGCUGCAAGAAGGGGGAAAGCUCCUACAGUAUAACUCUCAGGGAACAUGUCACAUGCAAUCAUACUAAAGCACAUUUGUAAUUUAGAAAUGAACCCGGUACUUUUGUAAUACCUCAGGAGACAGUCUUUUUUAGUUUUAAA